rnacentral:lncRNA from 1 species
CAUUCCUGUCUUGGUGUUUGUCCCACUUACAUUGCUGGCGCUAUUAGAUCACAAACCACCAUGAGCUCACGUCAGCGAAAGCGCCCGGGAGAGCCUCUUGAGUCCGGACCACCUCGGAAACGGAGAAGGCUGCUGCCCUCCAUCGCAGGUGGAAGUUGGCAGGCAGAGGCAAGAGGCCCAGAGGAAAGUGCUUCACCUGCUUUAGGGCCUGUUUAUGGAGAAUUCAUAGGUGUGUCAGGCAAAUCUUCUGAGGCUGAUGUUGUCACUCUUGGUGAUGAUGAUGAAUCUCCUAUGGACACUUCAGGGCAGGGAAACCCCAAAUCCUCCCUAAAUGCAGGCAGGGAAACCCCAAAUCCUCCCUAAAUGCAGAAAACUGAGAGUUAAAGACAGCAGGCUUCUUCAGAGGAAAUGUGCCAGGGCUAGUCAGUGCAUUUGCAUGAUUAUUUGAGAUUUUAUGUAUGAAGAACCAUUGAAGUGUGAUGAUAUUAACAGCUGCAUGUUCUUUCUGCUUCUGUUCCCUCUAGUGCAGAGCCAGGAAUUGUUAUUAAGUGUCCAAUUUGCAUGGACUUUUACUCGGAGGUAAGGCUCCACCUCUUGUCAUGCUUUGUGCUUUGUGGGAGGAGGAAGAAGCCAACAGGGGAGUUGCACAAGUCAGUCGGCUGAUGUGGGCAGCUGGCUGGAAGCACAGCCCUUGCU